rnacentral:lncRNA from 1 species
UUUUUUUGGACAAGACUGAAUUAUUCCGUCCAAUUACAAAAUAAAAGGAAAACCUAAUAUCGCACCUCCCAAGCCUUCAUCGAACAGGAUACAAAAUCGCACAUCCCCUAACCUUCAUCGAACGACAUGAUUAACAAAAUUGGCAUAUCAGGUCUCCGACCAGCUUUUCCCUCAGAUAACUCCUCUUCUUGCUUCUCUUCUUACCCAUCAGUGCGAUUUAUCAUUGGGUUUAGAUUGGUGUUGCUCGAUUAUGCUCAAUAUUCAUUGUCAGUAUUCUCCCUUUUAUACGACUCCAACUUCUCUUUUCAUGUAGGUUCAAGAUUGUUGCAAAAAUCAUUCUUCUCUUUCACUAUCUAGUCUUUAUUGCUAAAAAGUUCUGUUUACCAGAUACAAAUUGUGAUUUUUUAUAUCCAGCUAUUGUUUUGAGAUUUGUAUAUUAUAGUUUUUUCGCAUAUGUUAAAUCGUUUUUGAUAUACGAUUGCUGUUAAAUUGAUGUGUGAUUGAUUGAGUUUAUUCCUCCUCUGUUUCUCUAUUAUUUUUUGAAUUGGUUCCUCUGUAUGUUUUUUAAGUCUACUAUUAUUCUUGUGAAUUUUCAGAAAUUUUCUAAAUGUCUUCGAUGUAUAUUGAUGUUUUCAUUGAAUCCAUCACUAGCCGAGAUAUGAAUUCCACUAGUCAGACAUAUAUAUUGGUUUUAUUAUUUUGUUAAUUGAUGCGAGCUUUCCUGAUUUUCAUAAAUCUGACGCAUCUGUACGAAAUAAGCAUGUGGUCAUUUUGAUUGAUUUGAUCAUUUUUUUCUAAUUGUUUCUCCACUAGGUUGUUAGUUUUACUAAUGCAAGUUUCAUAAGGAUUUUGACAAGUUAUUAGAAGUGUUAUAGCAAUGGACUUAUAUUCUUCCCAUAUCCUACAUGUCGAGAAGUAUUUGAUUGUUAAUGUUUCGACUGUUAAAAGAUCAUUGAUAAUAACUGUUUAGUGAGAUUUAUGAAGCAUAUAACUCUUUUGGUCGGCUGCCCAAUUAUUAUAUUAGUAUAUAUCAUUGUAUUUUUCUGUGGCAGCACUUGUGCGUGCUCUACCCCACCACGAAAAUGAUAGUUUUGGUUCUUCAUAUUGACAGAUGAUAUAGAACUAUCUAUUAAUGCAGUUGUAUUAGUACUAUCAGGCUUGUAAUGGUUUCUAGAUUGUAUUCCUUUUGUUUUCCUAUUUUUUGGUCUUACAUUAGGUCCUAAUGAAUCACGGCAACUAGCUACAACAACUAGGUAUACUAGAGGUUAAUUAAAAUUGUGAAACACUAGUAGUAUAAUAAUAUGAGAUUUUUGUGUUGCCUAUGUUAUUUACUUCUUCAUUUAAAUUGACGCGGCAAACGUUUUGCUCUUGGUAGGGUUAAGUUGUUCUUGAGAUUGUUAUUUCUUAUUAGCUUAAAGAGAAAACUAUCCUGAUUGGUGUUCAAGUUCUAUUUCAUUGAAUCAAAUGUUUGUUUGUAUAUUGAGUUAAUUAAUUGUCUUUUCACAUUUAUUGUGAAAUCAUCUGAAUAACUGUUGUGAUUGUAGAAGAGACAAUAUUCUCUUGAAUUAUGAUGGAUAACUCUAGAAAUAGAAGUUGGAUGUCUUGUUGGGGUACUCAAGAAUAUUUGGAUGGAGUUGAAACUUUUUUAGUUAUGCAUUUCGUGAAAAAGAUAAUGCAAACACAAUUCCUCGCCCAUGCAAACACAAUCCUUGCCCAAUUCAAGAAUAUUUGUGCUUAAAAUAUGAAAAAAUUUCAUGCUAAUGACUGUAUGCUUUUUAGGAAGGAAUUGCUAGUAAGAAUGUUACUGAAUGCUUAAUUUGUGGGGCUUCUAGAUGGAAAAAUAAUGGUAAAAAAUUCCAGCCAAGGUCCAAAGGUAUUUUCCUCUAAAACCAGAUUGCAAAGGUUAUUCAUGUCUUUAGAAACUUCUAAACUAAUGCGAUGUCAUCAUAAAGGACGCAACAAAGAUGGUGUUCUACGGCAUCCUGCAGAUUCUGAAGCUUGAAUUUUUUUGAUAGUAAGUAUGUAGACUUUGCUAGAUAUCCACGUAAUGUUCGCCUAGGAUUAGCUUCUGAUAGGUUUAAUCCAUUUGGCACAAUGCGAACUGUUCGCCUAGAACGCUUCAACAUGAAGAAUGCUAAGCCAGUCAGCACACCUCUUGCUAGUCAUCUA